rnacentral:snRNA from 1 species
GGAUGGGAGGGUGAUCUGGCUGUGAAAUCUGUCACCCCAUUGAUUGCCAGGGUUGAUUUGGCUGAUCUGGCUGGCUAGGCUGGUGUCCCCUUCCUCCCUCGCCACUCCAUGUGCAUCCCUCCUGAAGCUGCAUGCUGCACUCGGUUGAAGAGGAUGACCUUCCCUGAAUAGAGGAGGACUGGUCUUUGGUCAAGGGUAUAUGAGUAGCUAGAACAUCCAAAUAAGCUCUCAAGAAAAAGUGCUUUGGUCAAGAUUCAAACUUGAAUGAGACUUCUGCCAACUCUAUUU